AUUGAACGCUGGCGGCAUGCCUUACACAUGCAAGUCGAACGGCAGCACGGGUGCUUGCACCUGGUGGCGAGUGGCGAACGGGUGAGUAAUACAUCGGAACAUGUCCUAUAGUGGGGGAUAGCCCGGCGAAAGCCGGAUUAAUACCGCAUACGAUCUACAGAUGAAAGCGGGGGACCUUCGGGCCUCGCGCUAUAGGGUUGGCCGAUGGCUGAUUAGCUAGUUGGUGGGGUAAAGGCCUACCAAGGCGACGAUCAGUAGAUGGUCUGAGAGGACGACCAGCCACACUGGGACUGAGACACGGCCCAGACUCCUACGGGAGGCAGCAGUGGGGAAUUUUGGACAAUGGGCGAAAGCCUGAUCCAGCAAUGCCGCGUGUGUGAAGAAGGCCUUCGGGUUGUAAAGCACUUUUGUCCGGAAAGAAAUCCUUGGCUCUAAUACAGUCGGGGGAUGACGGUACCGGAAGAGUAAGCACCGGCUAACUACGU
rnacentral:rRNA from 1 species